AUAAGUUCUAUGUUUGGCAUUAUCAAAAGCUCGAAGUUUCACGUCACGCCAUCUUGAAAUAUGGUUUUACUAAACAUACCUUCCUGUUCCAAGCUUCUCAACAGCUUGAACAAGUGCUUCCACUUCAGAGACAGAAAAAGGUCUACGGAUUCGACGUUGGGUGGCCUCGGAUCGCUUGGGCUUCCGCAAUGGGACUGCAGACAAGGCUUCUGCAUUUACUGCAGUUAGU
rnacentral:misc_RNA from 1 species